rnacentral:rRNA from 1 species
GUCUCAGUUCGGAUUGUAGUCUGCAACUCGACUACAUGAAGCUGGAAUCGCUAGUAAUCGCGGAUCAGAAUGCCGCGGUGAAUACGUUCCCGGGUCUUGUACACACCGCCCGUCACACCAUGGGAGUCGGAAAUGCCCGAAGUCUGUGACCGAAACCGAAAGGAAGGAGCAGCCGAAGGCAGGUCGGAUGACUGGGGUGAAGUCGUAACAAGGUAAC